AGAGCUAUUCUCAUAUUUUGGAGAAUCCGAAAAACACGUUAAAGAAAGUCCCAUUCCCACUACCGAAGCAAAUUAAGAAGAUGAAGCAGCAGAGAGUGGAGUUUAUGGGCCUGGGCAUGGGCAUGGGCAUGGGCCUUUUGGUGGUGAUGAUGGCAUGUGGGUCGGCGAGUGGUGCGGAUGAUUUGGCAACCAAGUGUUCAGCGGUGAUUCAGAAGGUAAUACCGUGUUUGGAUUUCGCGAAGGGGAAGGAAGAAACGCCG
rnacentral:lncRNA from 1 species